UCCUGACUUUGCUCUUUGCCAGUACACUGUUCCUCAAGAUCAGAAACUCAAACGGGGUGUGGUCACUGCAAGCCAGACUGCCUUCUGUCUUUACCUCUAAUUCAUCUGCAUUGGUGAGCACCAGGUCCAAUAAUGCUUCUCCUUUGGUUGAUUUGUCUAAUACCUGGACUAGAGAUCUACAGAAAAACAGGGGAUGGAAUUAUUUAAUUCAAAUUAGACAAGAUUUGAGUGCACUGUUAAAAUCAGAACAUGACUGGCCUAUGAUUAUGUGAGAGGUUUGUUUAAAAUUAUUUUCUGAUUUUGUAUAAGAAUUGAAGACACUGCAGUUAGGAGCAUAAUAUGAAACAUUUGAAACCCAUGCACUUCAUCAGGAAUGGUACUUUAGAAUCAAACUGGGAAAUAUACACUGAAAAUAAAGUGAAAUAAAAACCUC